UACGUAGGGCGCAAGCGUUGUCCGGAAUUAUUGGGCGUAAAGAGCUCGUAGGCGGCUUGUCACGUCGGGUGUGAAAGCCCGGGGCUUAACCCCGGGUCUGCAUUCGAUACGGGCAAACUAGAGUGCGGUAGGGGAGAUUGGAAUUCCUGGUGUAGCGGUGGAAUGCGCAGAUAUCAGGAGGAACACCGAUGGCGAAGGCAGAUCUCUGGGCCGACACUGACGCUGAGGAGCGAAAGCGUGGGGAGCGAACAGG
rnacentral:rRNA from 1 species